UAGGGAAUCUUCCGCAAUGGACGCAAGUCUGACGGAGCAACGCCGCGUGAGUGAAGAAGGAUUUCGGUUCGUAAAACUCUGUUGUUAGAGAAGAACAGCGCAUAGAGUAACUGUUAUGCGUGUGACGGUAUCUAACCAGAAAGCCACGGCUAACUACGUGCCAGCAGCCGCGGUAAUACGUAGGUGGCAAGCGUUGUCCGGAUUUAUUGGGCGUAAAGCGAGCGCAGGCGGUUAGAUAAGUCUGAAGUUAAAGGCAGUGGCUCAACCAUUGUAGGCUUUGGAAACUGUUUAACUUGAGUGCAGAAGGGGAGAGUGGAAUUCCAUGUGUAGCGGUGAAAUGCGUAGAUAUAUGGAGGAACACCGGUGGCGAAAGCGGCUCUCUGGUCUGUAACUGACGCUGAGGUUCGAAAGCGUGGGUAGCAAACAGG
rnacentral:rRNA from 1 species